rnacentral:rRNA from 1 species
GACGAACCGUGCGAACGUUGUUCGGAAUUACUGGGCGUAAAGCGUGCGCAGGCGGUUUUUGUAAGCCAGAUGUGAAAUCCCCGGGCUUAACCUGGGAAUGGCAUUUGGGACUGCAAGGCUGGAGUUUGGCAGAGGAGACUGGAAUUCCUGGUGUAGCAGUGAAAUGCGUAGAUAUCAGGAGGAACACCGAUGGCGAAGGCAGGUCUCUGGGCUGAAACUGACGCUCAUGCACGAAAAGCGUGGGGAGCAAACAGG